AAUGCAAACACAAGCAUACUUCCAUUUUCACACUUGUGUCGUUAUAUGACUCCGGUCACUGUGUUCAGUUUCUGAGCUGUGUAAUUCAGGAAAUUGUAAUGUUUAUUCUGAGGCGAUAAGUGAAGUACGAGGCCUAAUAGGCCGGCACUUGUACUGGGAAAAGGUGUGGCCCGUGGCUGUUCAUGACCAGUAAUACAGGAAAGGUGUACACACGGAGUUAGAAAGGCAGAGAGAAACAGACAGAGGUGAUCAGGACUCAACAGAAGCAACAGGACUCAGAGCCUCUACUCCUCUGGGAAGGCUUUCCACUAGAUUUUGGACCACGGUUAUGGGAAUUCACCAAGAGCAUUAGCGAAGUCAGGCACUGAUGUUACUAAAGAAGAGCAGGUGCACAAUUCAUGUCAAAGGAGUUCAGGACUCUUGAAAAACAAACACUUAACAAACACUUACACACAUUCUUGGCAAGCCAUACAUGCUUUGUGCGCAAAGGUGUAGUCGUGCCAGAACAGGUUUGAUUCAAUUGAAGGCUACGAUGCUACAUCAUACAAAAACAUUCUAUUCAAUUCAAUUCAGUUUUAUUUGUAUAGCGCUUUUAAAAAUAGACAUUGCCCCAAAGCAGCUUUGCAGAAAUAUAUAAAUUCAGGAUAUACAUUUUAAAUGUAUGAAUUUGUCCCUAAUGAGCGAGUCGGUGGUGACGGUGGCGAGGAAAAACUCCCUGAGGCGAUAUAAGGAAGAAACCUUGAGAGGAACCAGACUCAAAAGGGAACCCGUCCUCAUCUGGGUGAUGCUACAUGCUCAAAUAGUGCAGUUGUGUAACCAGGAAAAUUCCUUACAGUUUUUACAUGAAGUCUGUCUUGUUGAACUUCUCCACUGUUCACUAACGGAGAACUGCUUGUGGUUACUGCAGGCCGAAAGCUAUCAUAGCAAUUGUCGUCCUGGCCAUCACAGUGUAAAUGUUCAUUCUAGACACUUGUUUACUUCAAACCUUGUGGUAACCGUUUACUGAAGAACCACAUAUGGGUGUGAUGGUCAGGAGUCCAAGCAUAUAUAAGAUUAUAAUAUUUUAAUAUAACUAACCUAGCACAAACAGUCGUAUUUACAGACCAAACUAAUGUAUUGGCGAAC
ensembl:lncRNA